UAUCCAGCCAGUAUUAUGCCAGAUGCUAUUGAUGGACACCAAAAACAUGUGGUUGAGGUGCAACUUUCUAAGGCACGUUAAAUCAGUUUACAUUUACACAUUUCAGCCUUUUGACAAAGUGUGGAUUAGAGACUUGCGGACCCAGCUCUUCCUCUUUUAAAGCCAAUCCAAUUACCAUGACAUUCAUGUACAUGAUGAUUGUAUUUAAACUUUUGGCCACUGCUGUAUGUGCGCUGGCAAACAGGUUAAUGUGUUUUCUCAUUGAAGUCAUUCAAACCUUAUGAUCCAGAUAUUUACACAAUGUGGUUUUCUGCAUAGUUGCAAAGUCACCUGCUAUUUGUGCUUUUUGUCUGGGUCCUCAGCCACUGAUGAUUGGAUGACGUGCAACUCUAGUUGAAACUGAAUCUGUUGAAGAGAAAUUAUGCAUAAAACGUGUUUAACACUGAGUGUUUGAUCUAAGCUAAGAAUUAUUUCUUCUUUAUGAAGCAUUUUUUACCUUUAUUUUUUAUUUAUUUUAUAAAUUUUUUAUUUUUAUUUAUAAAAAUAUUUAUUUUAUUAUUUUUUAUUCUUAGCCUGCACAUUGAUGCUGAUGUGCAAAGUAUCUUCUUAGCUGACCUCUGGUACUUUCCUUACCUGUAACUGAACUGCAUUUAAACCACCCAGAUCUCUAUGAGACGCGUUCACCCACAUUUUCAUACAGCACCUUUAACUGUUACACACCUGCCUGGGGAUAUUUGGUGUCAUUUUGACAUUUUGAAAAAGUGUAUAGUUGAGUUGACUUACUUGUGGUUUUGUGGUUCUUCUUGUAAAAUCUUUUUUGGUACACUUAAAAGCUGCCACCAGCCUGUUAGCAGUGACACAGCCAUUUUCACUGCAGGACGAGAUUAUAUUUAAAGUGAAGUUUCGGGUCAGCGUUAUGAGUCAGUGGGAGGAGUCUGCUAUAUGUUACAACACCACUCACAAUUCUGCAGAAAACGUAAGGUCUAUCCACUUUGCUCCAGGGCACACAAACAUAUCUAUACCGUCAACACACUGGCAGUUGGUCCAAAUGCACUGGGGUGUUGGGAUUGGACUCCUCCAGACCUUUUAUAGCCUUGUGCCCACGCGCCAGUGCCCACCCACUGAUGAAGUGUCAGAGCAGGCAGCAUCACACACCAUGGCCUUUCAGAGAAUAAGAAUAAGUCUUCUGACUAGAUUGUUCGUGUUUUGGCAGCCAGUGGCAGUCUGCCUGGGCGCAAAGCUGGGAGUUGAAGACCUUAAUUGGAAAAUGUGUAUACGCUGUUAAGAGGGGUUGUGGUAACUGGCUGGCUAGCCUGCCGUUGGCCUCUUAGCCCUCUUUUAUUUGGUUUUCAUCAGAGCACUUUAAGCAGGAGAAAUAGGUACAGUGACCUGUCAAAAGAAUUUGUGUAUGAUUCUUCUACCAGAAACUUCCAAAAUCAAAGAUUAAAAAAUCAGUUUCCCACAGGGAAUGCUGUAGAUGUGAUUUAAAGUUUAUUACAGGUUAAGAUUAUAGUGUUAAAAAGAAAUAAGCGAACAUGUGUCAUUAUUGCU
ensembl:lncRNA